CCUACGGGUGGCAGCAGUGGGGAAUAUUGCACAAUGGGGGAAACCCUGAUGCAGCGACGCCGCGUGAGUGAAGAAGGCAUUCGUUAUGUAAAGCUCUAUCAGCAGGGAAGAAAAUGACGGUACCUGUGUAAUUAGCCCCGGCUAACUACGUGCCAGCAGCCGCGGGAAUACGUCGGGGGCAAGCGUUAUCCGGAUUUACUGGGUGUAAAGGGAGCGUAGACGGUUGUGCAAGUCUGGAGUGAAAGGCGGGGGCUCAACCCCCGGACUGCUCUUGAAACUGUACGGCUGGAGUGCAGGAGAGGUAAGUAGAAUUCCUAGUGUAGCGGUGAAAUGCGUAGAUAUUAGGAGGAACACCAGUGGCGAAGGCGGCUUACUGGACUGUAACUGACGUUGAGGCUCGAAAGCGUGGGGAGCAAACAGGAUUAGAUACCCGGGUAGUC
rnacentral:rRNA from 1 species